UACGAAGGGGGCUAGCGUUGUUCGGAAUCACUGGGCGGAAAGCGCACGUAGGCGGAUUUGACAGUCAGGGGUGAAAUCCCGUGGCCCAACCUCGGAACUGCCUUUGAUACAGCAAAUCUCGAGUCCGGAAGAGGUGGGCGGAAUUCCUAGUGUAGAGGUGAAAUUCGUAGAUAUUAGGAAGAACACCAGUGGCGAAGGCGGCCCACUGGUCCGGUACUGACGCUGAGGUGCGAAUGCGUGGGGAGAAAACAGG
rnacentral:rRNA from 1 species